AAAACGGAGAGUUUGAUCCUGGCUCAGGAUGAACGCUGGCGGUAUGCUUAACACAUGCAAGUCGAACGGACUCUUCGGAGUUAGUGGCGGACGGGUGAGUAACGCGUGAGAAUUUGGCUUCAGGUCGGGGACAACAGUUGGAAACGACUGCUAAUACCGGAUGUGCCGAAAGGUGAAAGAUUUAUCGCCUGAAGAUAAGCUCGCGUCUGAUUAGCUAGUUGGUGGUGUAAGGGACUACCAAGGCGACGAUCAGUAGCUGGUCUGAGAGGAUGAUCAGCCACACUGGGACUGAGACACGGCCCAGACUCCU
rnacentral:rRNA from 1 species